GAUGAACGCUGGCGGCGUGCCUAAUACAUGCAAGUCGAGCGAACAGAUGAGGAUCUUGUUCCUCUGUCGUUAGCGGCGGACGGGAGUGAAACACGUGGAUCACCUACUUAUAUGACUGGGAUAACCUCGGGAAACCGGAGCUAAUCCCGGAUAAUAUAUUGCACCGUAUGGUUCAUUAGUGAAAGACGGUUUUGCUGUCUCUUCUAGCGGGUUCCGCGCCGUUUUAGCUGGUUGUUAAGGUCACGGCUUACCAAGGCAACGAGGCGUAGCCGAACGGAGGGAGGGAUCGGCCACCCUGGAACUGAGACACGGUCCAGAGUCCUACGGGAGGCAGCAGUAGGGAAUCUUCCGCAAUGGGCGAAAGCCUUACGGAGCAGCGCCGCGUGAGUGAUGAAGGUCUUCGGAUCGUAAAGCUCUGUUAUUAGGGAAGAACAAAUGUGGAAGGAAAUAUGGACGGCUUGACGGUACCUAAUCAGGAAGCCACGGCUAACUACGUG
rnacentral:rRNA from 1 species